CACCGGCGGCUCGAGUGGUAACCGUUAUUAUUGGGUCUAAAGGGUCUGUAGCCGGCCGGAUAAGUCUCUUGAGAAAUCUGGCAGCUUAACUGUCAGGCUUUCAGGAGAUACUGUCUGGCUCGAGGCCGGGAGAGGUGAGAGGUACUUCAGGGGUAGGGGUGAAAUCUUGUAAUCCUUGAAGGACCACCAGUGGCGAAGGCGUCUCACCAGAACGGACCUGACGGCAAGGGACGAAAGCUAGGGGCACGAACCGGAUUAGAUACCCGCGUAGUCCCUGAGCGGGCU
rnacentral:rRNA from 1 species